UCCAGUACUCCAAGAAGGUCACCGCCCAGAAGGACAUGAAGAUGCUGAAGAAGACGGUCCCUGGGUGAUCGAAGAGCAAAGAGACCAGCCAGGAAGACGAGUGUGCCAACGACUGCCGCUGGGAGCAGCCAGGCGGUGUAGAAUCCUGCCAGGGAAGAGGAGGAGAACCCAAGGGAUGUUGGUGAGCACCACCCAGAGGCUACAUGGAAGGCAAAACGAGGUCAAGCAAGGCGGCAGUGACUUGUCCCCCUUCAGCGCUAUGACUGAAGUUGCAAGGAGAAGCAGAAGGAGACCCCAUUCCUGCAGGCCCGGCUGG